rnacentral:rRNA from 1 species
UACGUAGGGGGCUAGCGUUGUCCGGAUUUACUGGGCGUAAAGGGCGCGUAGGCGGUGCUCUAAGUCGGAUGUGAAAACUCUGGGCUCAACCCAGAGCCUGCAUCCGAAACUGGAGUGCUAGAGUUCUGGAGGGGGUAGCGGAAUUCCUGGUGUAGCGGUGAAAUGCGUAGAUAUCAGGAGGAACACCGGUGGCGAAGGCGGGUCUCUGGGCCGGAUAACUGACGCUGGAGGAGCGAAAGCGUGGGGAGCGAACAGG